AGUGGACGCUGGCGGUAGGCCUAACACAUGCAAGUCGAACGGCAGCACAGUAAGAGCUUGCUCUUACGGGUGGCGAGUGGCGGACGGGUGAGGAAUACAUCGGAAUCUACUUUUUCGUGGGGGAUAACGUAGGGAAACUUACGCUAAUACCGCAUACGACCUACGGGUGAAAGCAGGGGAUCUUCGGACCUUGCGCGAUUGAAUGAGCCGAUGUCGGAUUAGCUAGUCGGCGGGGUAAAGGCCCACCAAGGCGACGAUCCGUAGCUGGUCUGAGAGGAUGAUCAGCCACACUGGAACUGAGACACGGUCCAGACUCCUACGGGAGGCAGCAGUGGGGAAUAUUGGACAAUGGGCGCAAGCCUGAUCCAGCCAUACCGCGUGGGUGAAGAAGGCCUUCGGGUUGUAAAGCCCUUUUGUUGGGAAAGAAAAGCAGCAGGUUAAUACCCCGCUGUUCUGACGGUACCCAAAGAAUAAGCACCGGCUAACUUCGUG
rnacentral:rRNA from 1 species